UUACGGGAGGCAGCAGUAGGGAAUUUUCCGCAAUGGACGAAAGUCUGACGGAGCAACGCCGCGUGAGGGAUGAAGGUUUUCGGAUCGUAAACCUCUGUCUUCGGGGACGAUAAUGACGGUACCCGAGGAGGAAGCCACGGCUAACUACGUGCCAGCAGCCGCGGUAAUACGUAGGUGGCAAGCGUUGUCCGGAAUUACUGGGCGUAAAGGGCGUGUAGGCGGCCUUUUAAGUCAGACGUGAAAUCUCCAGGCUUAACCUGGAAACUGCGUUUGAAACUGGAGGGCUUGAGGACCGGAGAGGGUAGUGGAAUUCCCAGUGUAGCGGUGAAAUGCGUAGAUAUUGGGAGGAACACCAGUGGCGAAGGCGACUGCCUGGACGGCACCUGACGCUGAGGCGCGAAAGCUAGGGGAGCAAACGGGAUUAGAUACCCCGGUAGC
rnacentral:rRNA from 1 species